AGUAACGCGUAGGAAUCUGCCUGGUAGUGGGGGACAACCUGUGGAAACGCAGGCUAAUACCGCAUACGCCCUAAGGGGGAAAGAAGGGGAUCACUUCGGUGACCUUUUGCUAUCAGAUGAGCCUGCGUGAGAUUAGCUAGUUGGUAGGGUAAAGGCCUACCAAGGCGACGAUCUCUAGCUGGUCUGAGAGGAUGACCAGCCACACUGGGACUGAGACACGGCCCAGACUCC
rnacentral:rRNA from 1 species